UACGUAGGGUGCAAGCGUUGUCCGGAAUUAUUGGGCGUAAAGAGCUCGUAGGCGGUUUGUUGCGUCGGCUGUGAAAUCCCGAGGCUCAACCUCGGGUCUGCAGUCGAUACGAGCAAACUAGAGUGUUGCAGGGGAGACUGGAAUUCCUGGUGUAGCGGUGAAAUGCGCAGAUAUCAGGAGGAACACCGGUGGCGAAGGCGGGUCUCUGGGCCAUUACUGACACUGAGAAGCGAAAGCAUGGGGAGCGAACAGG
rnacentral:rRNA from 1 species